CACACAGAGAAACCCUGUCUCAAAAAAGGAAAGAAAGGAAGGUAACAGGGAAGGAAAGGAGGAAGGAAGAAAGCUUCGUAGCUUUCUCUAUCUUUAGUAAUCUAUCCAACUCACAACUGGGUGUUGGGAGUCCAUGGUUGAAGUUGACAACUAAUCAACCUCCCCACAAAAUACCUGGAACAUAGGAAGAAAAGAAGAAUUCCUAAAAUUUAGAACGGUACUCUAGAUUAUAAAAACCAAAGGCAGACUUGAUCCCAAGGUGUGGCAGUUACUCAUAUCUACAUGAUGUUCUUCAUUGUGCAAAAUGUCCUCACAUUAUCUUAGGGGAUUUGGUCCUCCAAGAAAAAUCCUGUGGACCAAUGGAUAUUUUUAUCACUUUUUCCAUUUGGCAGAUUCUGGCCCUGAUGAGUAGAUGAGCUCACAAAAGUACCCAGUUAUCAACACAAGUGAAGUAUCUGGUAUUCCAAUCCCAGGUUCUUAUGCAUUGACCCAGUGCACAAUAAAUUGCCUCAUGUUUGGGCAUAUUUGUGGAUUUUUCUUUUUUCUUUUUUUUAAUUCCCAGUGCUGUGAUUAAAUGUGAACACAACCACAUUUUUUAGGAUUUUAGGUCUUUUGUUAUAGUUUUGAUUUUUUUGACGCAGGGUCUUGCUGUACCCCUCAGACUGGUCUUUAACUCCUGCUUCUGUCCAUUUUAUUUUUAUUUUUAAUCAUUUUCUCAAGUUUAAGGCUCCGUAAUUGCCUUUACUGUUUCAGGAAUGCACUAAAACAGCAGCAAUCAAUACUGAAACAGUAUAGAGUUUUGUUUUUCACAACAUCUGGAACGCAGAAGGUUCAGCUUCCCUCUGCAUAAACCCAGGCAACUAGAAUCACAGCUUCCGUGGACGCUAAAGCGAUCCUCUUCCUGCCCUUCUGUAUUUGGAGGCCUAGCCAAGCCUUCCUUGACUCUCCUGCCUCACCCACUCCAGUGCUACAGUCACAGGAAUAUGCGACUGAACUAGCACAACACCUACACUUCUUACUGGCUUUGAAAUUCCAGUCCCAACGCCCACAGCCUGUGAAUGGGCGGAGCCUCGUCCUGGAGAAAAAUCGGCAGUGGGAGUGGCUUCCUCUCGAAGAGCUUCCGGAACCUUUCGGGCAGAGGCGGAGUCUUCUGCCGAGGGCCCUUCGGAAAGAGGCGGAGCCUACCUCGCAUCAGGACCAGUCGGACUGCACCUGCAUCCUUAGCUCAGAGCAUCCCUGGAGCAUCUAAGAGGAACGCGCAGCUAGCAACCAGGGAUCGGACUGUCGCAGGGGCAGUCUGCCAGGCACCUUCCCCUCCCCUGAUCCGGAGGUCUACAGCCGCGGCCUCGGUACUGACCGAGAUCCCCAAAGUUGUCUGACCUCUGCAAAAGUGUUGCUAUCAGCAGCCUCUGAUUACAACAUGGCUGAGAUCACAAAUAUACGCCCCAGCUUUGAUCAGAAAUUCUCGGGGCAGUCUUUGCAGAAGCACAAAGAAGAUCCUCUUCCACAGCCAGUCUACCUCCCUAUUUAGACUUGAUAACCAACAAGAUGGAAAAUCCUGUUUCACAAAGAUACGUUGUUGCAAAUGGAAGAAGUCGUCCCAACACAGUCUCAGACAAAACCGAAAUGACUGCAGCUGCUUGAUCCAGAGUUUUGUACUGGCAUUGAAGGAACUCAACUCUCACUGUAUCGCUGCUCAUAAGUGCAACGAAUUCCUCUUGUGCUGUCUCAGGAAUAUUUUCAAGUUUGACUGUGAAUGGGUUUCUGGCAAGUGUAAAUGGAGUGUCUACAAACGUGCAAGUGUUCUUUCACAGAAAUAAUCAUUGUAAUCUUUUUUCUGGUUAAAUGUCAUGUACCUCAAAGAAAACAGAUAGGGUAGGCAACAUGUAAAUUUUAUUUUCAUCCCCCCCCCCCUUUUUUUUUUUUUUUUUUGCCAAAGCUGAAGUUUCAUUUGGAAUGAUAUGGUAUUUUCAGUAAAAUUGAGGCAUGUUGCAUUGGACCUUGCAGUGAUAAAUUUAACUCACUCAAGAUGGCAAAGAUGAUAACCAAUUAAGCUACUUUCUGUUUUAAUUUUAACCACUCAAAAUGCUUUGAACUGCCAUCUUGCUUUCUGAUUAAAAACAUUUUGAGUCCACCACACAGCUCAAAAACACAUUUUUCUUUUUUUAAAGAUUUACUUAUUUAUUAUGCAUAAAAUGUUCGGCCUGCAUGUGUGCCUGCAGGCCAGAAGAGGGUGCCAGAUCUCAUUACAGAUGGUUGUGAGCCACCAUGUGGUUGCUGGGAAUUGAACUCAGGACCUCUGGAAGAACAGUCAGUGCUCUUAACUGCUGAGCCAUCUCUCCAGCCCCUCAAAAACACAAUUUAGAAUAGCAGUGUCAGCCCAAACUUGUAGACCCAGCACUCAGGGAACUGAGGCAGGUGAAUUUCUGUGAGUUCCAGGCCAGCCAGGGCUGCACAGAGAAACCCUGUUGGGGGGUGGGGGACGACCUCGACAAGACAAACAGCAAAUACGUUUUAAAACCUUUUCCUCUCCAGAACCAUCUAACCUCAGUAUGAAAUGGCAGAGUGUUGUUCACUGCCUCCAACUCGUUACACAGUUGUGAAAAUAGUUACUGUUAAGUGCUUCCCUUCAUAAAAUUGACAGAAGUUAUAAUGCUUUUUUUUUUUUUUUUUUUUUGGUUUUCUGAGACAGGGUUUCUCUGUGUAGCUUUGCGCUUUUCCUGGAACUCACUCUAGACCAGGCUGGCCUCGAACUCACAGAGAUCCACCUGCCUCUGCCUUCUAAGUACUGGGAUUAAAGGUAUGUGCCACUACCCAGCAUUCCUAGUAAUCCUUAUGGCAGCAUAAUAUUUGUUGGUGAAUCCUAUGGUGAGUUCUGGUGACUUCUGGUGACCAUCCAGAUCGACACCCUAGCACAGCUGGAGCACCGUCCAUGCAAACACCACAGACCUUUCCCAGGAGAUCUUAGGCUCUUUCAGAAAUGAACCACUGACUCAAAUACGGGGGUGUGCAGAAAAGAAACUCAUCUUUAAAGCUGCCAUUAUUAAUCGACCUCACAUAAACCAAUAGUCGAACAGUUGUAACGUCUGUGGAUUCCUAAAGCUCCUGGGUCACCUACUCAAGGACGUCAGCAAACACGGCGUCUGUUCUGCUGACGGUGUCACUAGACGAGGAAAUCCCACUCAGCUGGGUAAUAAAUUUGUCUCCAAUCAUAACUCUAGAAAUACCUUUGGCUGCUGGCAAUAGUAAAUCCUCAGUGGAGGUGUGAGGUUUCACAGCUCUGGCGAUUCUGGGCUCUACCAAAUAUGAAGUUUCAAUGUCUGCUACAUUCUGUUGUGAUAUGAGCCACCAGUGUCAAGUCUGGCCUCCUUGAGUCCACCAGCUUUGCUUCUAAAGUAGUUGACAUCUUUGGCAGAGAAGCUCAGAUGCUCACUAUCAAAGUGGCAGUUUAGAUUGUUCAGCCUCAUAGAUUUGGCUGAUAGAAUUUCACAACAAAUAACACAUUGUAGUUUCUCAAUUUCUGCUGUAAUCAUUGAGGUAAAAUCAUACUGUAAAAAAAUCCUCACAAUAUUUUCUUUUCUUAACGUUCUUCUCAACAGGAUCCAUUGUCAUGGGAUAGUUUUCUAAUGAAAACGAUAUAUAACAACAUCCUUAAUAAUACAAAAGAUCAUAUAUGGCAUAUUUCAGUCAAUACAGUUCAUUAAAGUUUCCGAAGAUUUA